rnacentral:rRNA from 1 species
CCUACCAUUUAGUGGGGAAUAACUGUUGGAAACGACAGCUAAUACCGCAUAUGUUAUUUGUUUCCAAUAAUAAAUAAUGAAAGGAGCAUUUGCUUCGCUAAUUGAUGGGGAUGCGGCGCAUUAGCUAGUUGGUAAGGUAAUGGCUUUCCAAGGCAACGAUGCGUAGCCGAUAUGAGAGGAUGAACGGCCACAUUGGGACUGAGACUCGGCCCAAACUUGUACGGAAGGCAGCCGUAGGGAAUUUUUCACAAUGGGCGAAAGCCCGAUGGAGCAAUGCCGCGUGACUGCGACGGUUUUC